UACGUAGGGUCCGAGCGUUGUCCGGAAUUAUUGGGCGUAAAGGGCUCGUAGGCGGUUUGUCGCGUCGGGAGUGAAAACUCAGGGCUCAAUCCUGAGCGUGCUUCCGAUACGGGCAGACUAGAGGUAUGCAGGGGAGAACGGAAUUCCUGGUGUAGCGGUGGAAUGCGCAGAUAUCAGGAGGAACACCGGUGGCGAAGGCGGUUCUCUGGGCAUUACCUGACGCUGAGGAGCGAAAGCAUGGGGAGCGAACAGG
rnacentral:rRNA from 1 species